rnacentral:rRNA from 1 species
UACAGAGGGGGCUAGCGUUGUUCGGAAUUACUGGGCGUAAAGCGCACGUAGGCGGAUUGUUAAGUCAGGGGUGAAAUCCUGGGGCUCAACUCCAGAACUGCCUUUGAUACUGGCAAUCUUGAGUCCGGAAGAGGUGAGUGGAACUCCUAGUGUAGAGGUGGAAUUCGUAGAUAUUAGGAAGAACACCAGUGGCGAAGGCGGCUCACUGGUCCGGUACUGACGCUGAGGUGCGAAAGCGUGGGGAGCAAACAGG